AUGGAAGCGGUUCUUUCUGCGGUUACAGGUGACCUCGUUAGCAGAUUUUUCUCCUUUCUGAUAAGCAAAUACUCGGCUCUCACAUGCUCAGGGGAGACGCAUGUGGAUGUGGAGAGGUUGCAACAACUCUUGUUAAGAGCUCAAAUGGUUGUUGAGGAGGCAGAUGCGCGGUAUAUCACCAACUCUGGUAUGCUUCUACAACUGAAGAUGCUAGCUAGGGCUAUGUACCACGGUUAUUAUGCGCUAGACACUUUCAAGUGCAACCAACUCAUAAACAAAGAGGGCUCCAAGGAAGUGAUGGAUACUGGCUCAUUUGGAUCAUAUCUUGGCACUGCCCUGAAGCGCUUCCGCACAAACACUGAUGUAUCAAGUCACAAAGUUUAUAACAAGUGCGACCUAGAAGAUGCCUUGUUGAAUUUAGAGAUUGCCGUUUCUAAUAUCACAGAGUUUGUUAUACUUUUGGGUGGGUGCCAACCCAUGUUUCGCAGACCCUAUGAUACAUACCUUUACAUCAACAACUUCAUGUUCGGUCGCUGGACCGAGAAGCAACAAGUUAUAAACUUCUUGUUACAAUGCUUCCAUCUUGGUUCUCCGCCUGUGCUUGCCAUCAUCGGCGGCUUUCAAGUCGGGAAGAAAACUCUCGUCGCUCAUGUAUGCAAUGAUGAGAACGUCCGUAGAACUUCUCUUCAAUUUUGCACUUUAAUGAAGACAAUUUCUGUAGGAUAG
rnacentral:rRNA from 1 species